CUGGGAAUAUUGCGCAAUGGACGAAAGUCUGACGCAGCGACACCGCGUGUGGGAUGAAGUAUUUCGGUAUGUAAACCACUGUGGCGAGGGAUGAAAUUUUGACAGUACCUCGCUAGAAAGCAUCUGCUAACUACGUGCCAGAAGCCUCGGCAAUGCGUGGGAUGCAAGCGUUAUCCGGAUUUACUGGGCGUAAAGGGUUUCGCAGGCGGAUUGUUAAGUCGGGUCUUAAAGACUGGGGCUCAACUCCAGAAGUGGAUUCGAUACUGGCAAUCUUGAGGAUAUCAGGGGGGACUGGAACACUCGGUGGAGGGGUGAAAUCCGUUGAGAUCGAGUGGAACGCCAAUGGCGAAAGCAGGUCCCUGGGGUAUUCCUGACGCUCAGGUACGAAAGCUAGGGGAGCAAACGGG
rnacentral:rRNA from 1 species